CUAAUAUCGGAAAAUCAAAGUGCAUUCAUUCCGGGCAGGCUUAUUACGGAUAACUCGAUUAUUGCCUUCGAAUGUAUCCAUCAUAUACAAUCUGUUAAGGAAAAUUCACCGGCUUUGUGUGCUUACAAGCUUGACCUUUCGAAGGCAUAUGACCAAGUUGAUUGGGACUCUCUUGUGAGGGCUCUUCUCAAAUGGGGCUUCUCCCAGUUCUGGGUCUCUCGUGUUAUGGCGUGUGUAUCAUCUGUUAAAUACUCUGUCAAGUUCAAUGGCAAGCUACUGGAAUCUUUUACCCCGUCCCGGGGUCUCCAGCAAGGUGAUCCGUUAUCCCCCUUUCUUUUCCUUUUUGUUGCGGAUGCUCUAUCAAGGUUGAUCAAUAAAUCUAUGGAAGAGGAUGGAUUAAAGGUGAAAAUUUGUAGAGGUGCUCCGGAAAUAUCCCAUCUUUUAUUCGCGGAUGAUUCACUCUUGUUUUUUCAAGCUUCUGAAUAGCAGGCAAUUUUGGUUAAAGGUUUGUUGAACACUUAUGCGGUGGCUACUGGCCAAUUAAUAAAUCCUUCAAAGUGCUCCAUCCUUUUUUCAGAUCAUUGCUCGCCCACAGUUGCUUCUAAUGUUAAGGGUGUUCUGGAAAUUACACAGGAGGUCUUCGAGCCUAAGUAUCUAGGCCUCCCUGUGCCAGAGGGAAGAAUGCAUAAGGGUAAUUUUGAAACUAUCCAAGAAAGAUUAAGGAAGAGGUUAAUCGACUGGAGUGAGCAAUAUAUGUCAUCAGGUAAGGAGAUUUUAAUUAAAUCAGUUGCUCAAGCUAUACCAAUAUAUGUCAUGAGUGUUUUCAAACUCCCAGCAUCGAUUUGUGAUGAGUUAACCCGCAUGAUGCGUCAGUACUGGUCGGGAGUUGACAAGGGGAAGCGUAAAAUGGCAUGGCUGAGUUGGGACAAAAUGCGCCUACCCAAAUCUAUGGGAGGCAUGGGCUUCAGGGAUAUGCGGGCUUUUAACCAAGCCCUACUCGCAAAACAAGCAUGGUGCCUUUUAGAUACGUCAGACAGCUUAUGUGCUAGGCUCCUAAAGGCGAAAUACUUCCCGGCUGGUAAUUUACUGGAUUCGGUGUUCUCUAACAAUGGAUCCGCAAUGUGGAAAGGGAUUUUAUACGGUCUGGACCUCGUGAAGAAGGGGGUUAUUUGGCGAGUGGGGGAUGGGGCGCUCAUCCGUACUUGGCGCGACCCUUGGAUUCCAAGAGCAACCUCAUUCUGCCCCAUCACUCCUAAACGCACAUCCCGGCUAAACCGUGUGUGA
rnacentral:rRNA from 1 species